rnacentral:sRNA from 1 species
AGCAGCCGCGGUAAUUCCAGCUCCAAUAGCGUAUAUUAAAGUUGUUGCAGUUAAAAAGCUCGUAGUUGAAUUUCGGGGUCAGUAGAUUGGUCGUGCCACUGGUAUGUACUGGUCUUACUGGCUCCUCCUUCCUGAUGAACCGUAAUGCCAUUAAUUUGGUGUUGCGGGGAGACUGGACUGUUACUUUGAAAAAUUAGAGUGUUUAAAGCAGGCUAACGCUUGAAUACAUUAGCAUGGAAUAAUGAAAUAGGACGUUCGAUCUUAUUUUGUUGGUUUCUAAGAUUGACGUAAUGAUUAAUAGGGAUAGUUGGGGGCAUUAGUAUUCAAUUGUCAGAGGUGAAAUUCUUGGAUUUAUUGAAGACUAACUACUGCGAAAGCAUUUGCCAAGGAUGUUUUCAUUAAUCAAGAACGAAAGUUAGGGGAUCGAAGACGAUCAGAUACCGUCGUAGUCUUAACCAUAAACUAUGCCGACUAGGGAUCGGAUGAUGUUAAUUUUUAAUGACUCAUUCGGCGUAC